AGCUUGCAGGCGCCCGGCCCUGUCACAAGGAGUCGCUAGAGCAGUGGUUCCCAACCUUUUUCGUUAGUGUACCACCAACUCAAUUUUGCUCUACCUGGAGUACCCCUGAAGUACCCCCUCAUGUGAAUUUUACCAGUAGGACUAUGGCCUCAUGAGUCUUCUCAUGUACCCCUUGUGGAUAGGCCAAGUACCACCAGGAGUCCUAGUACCCCUGGUUGGGAACCACUACACUAGCACAAUGAGCCAAGGAAAACCCCACUGGCCAAACCCUCCCCUACCCCGGCUUUUGACCGCCGCGCCACCCAAGACCAUCAGCAAUUCUCUUCUGGUUUGAAAUAAGCAAUGGAAUCAGCUUUCUGACAUAUGUCAUUGUCAAAAAGCAAUCUAACAAAUUACAGUAAGACAAGAACUUAACCACAGACACAAUCUUAUUGGGGUGCCAGAUUCAAAAACUGUUACAACUAUUCAAUAACAUAUACAUAUACAACAAACGAGACGAUGAUUUCACAAUAUUGUCCACAAUCUAGAAAUAAUAUCAAUACCGGCCUUAUGCAAGAGUUGUCUGACAGGUCGGCUUCAAAAUUAUUGAAGAAGAAGAAGAAAUCAUUGAAGAAUAAAUCAGGGGUUUGACGAGAUGGGAUACAGCUUUGUCAGAUGUGGCUUUUCGUGGCAGGUUAGAGAAUUUACGCAACAGGUUAGGAGAAUUAUGUUAGGGUUAGGAGAAUUAUGUUAGGGUUAGGAGAAUUAUGUUAGGGUUAGGAAAAGGGUUAUGCAGGGCAUAGACUACACGACUUCUACAACCUUAACAACUUGGACUUGUCCCAAACCUGUCAUUCUGUCCAUCCUCAACCCCAGGACGUGGGUGCUCACCAGUGUCUAUCCUCAACCCCAGGACGUGGGUGCUCACCAGUGUCUAUCCUCAACCCCAGGACGUGGGUGCUCACCAGUGUCUAUCCUCAACCCCAGGACGUGGGUGCUCACCAGUGUCUAUCCUCAACCCCAGGACGUGGGUGCUCACCAGUGUCCAUCCUCAACCCCAGGACGUGGGUGCUCACCAGUACCCAUCCUCAACCCCAGGACGUGGGUGCUCACCAGUGUCCAUCCUUAACCCCAGGACGUGGGUGCUCACCAGUGUCCAUCCUCAACCCCAGGACGUGGGUGCUCACCAGUGUCCAUCCUCAACCCCAGGACGUGGGUGCUCACCAGUGUCCAUCCUCAACCCCAGGACGUGGGUGCUCACCAGUGGCAGUCAGUGCCGUUUAAGAUGAGGGAGGACGUUCUUUUUUUUCAUGACCUUAUUUCUAUUACAGCAUAUUAGAUGACUGCCAUUCAUGUUCCAUUCACCUAGUUCAAUGUAACAUCGAUAGGUUUAGGCUACUACAUGAUACUCAUAUUUUCUCUAUACCCAUCAUGAGGUUGCUACAACCUAGCCUAAAGAUUUUACUAAGUUACAGUUCAUAUAUGGAAAUCAGUCAAUUUAAAUAAGUACAUUAGGCCCUAAUCUAUGGAUUGUACAUGACUGGGCUUCAAGAUAUGCAUCUGUUGGUCACAGAUACUGUACAUAAAAAAGGUAGGGGUGGAUCAGAAAACCAGUCAGUAUCUGGUGUGACCACCAUCUGCCUCAUGCAGCGCGACACAUCUCCUUUGUUGUCGUACACGUCAAUCCAGAGCAUCCCAAACGUGCUCAAUGGGUGAUAUGUCUGGUAAGUAUGCAGGCCGUGGAAGAACUGGGGUAUUUUCUGCUUCCAGGAAUUGUGUACAGACCCUUGCGAUGUGGGGCAGUACAUUAUCAUGCUGAAACAUGAGGUGAUGGCGAGGGAUGAAUGGCACGACAAUGGGCCUCAGGAUCUCGUCACGAUAUCUUUGUGCAUUCAAAUUGCCAUCAAUAAAAUGCAAUUGUAUUCAUCGUUGGUAGCUUAAGCCUGCUCAUACCAUUACCCCACUGCCACCAUGGGGCAUUCUUUUCACAAUAUUGACAUCUGCCAACCGCCUGACCACAAGCCAAACAAGUGGUCUGCGAUUGUGAGGUCAGUUGGACGUACUGCCAAAUUCUCCAAAGGAUGUUGGAGGUGGCUUACAGUAGAGAAAUUAACAUUAAAUACUCUGGCAAUAGCUCUGGAGGACAUUCCUGCAGUCAGCAUGCCAAUUGCACGCUCCCUCAAAACUUAAGACAUCUGUGGCAUUGUGUUGUAUGGCAAAACAGCACAUUUUAGAGUGGCCUUUUAUUGUCCCCGGCACAAGGUGCACCUGUGUAAUGAUAAUGCUGUUUAAUCAGCUUAUUGAUAUGGCACACCUGUGAGGUGGAUGGAUCAUCUUCUCAAAGGAGAAAUGCUCACUAACAGGGAUGUGCCAAAUUUGUGAACAAAUUUUGAGAGAAACAAGCUUUUUGUGCGUAUGGAACAUUUCUGGGAUAUUUUAUUUCAGCUCAUGAAACAUGGGACCAACACUUUACAUGUUGUGUUUAUAUUUUUGUUCAGCAUGUUUUGGGUUCCUUUCAAAGAGGAUUCUACAUGGAACCCAAAACGGCUCUACAUGGAACCCAAAAUGGUUGUACCUGGAACCAAAAAGAGUUCUCUAAUGGGUACAGUUGAAGAACCCUUUUGGAACUAUUUUUUUUAAGAGUAACUUAUCUCAGCCAUGAAAGCUGCCAGAGCGAGGGGGGACAUGGCUUACAUCCCCUAUGACAGGCUCAUUGUCCACCCUCACUCCCAGAAGCCUGGAAGGGAUGAGAGAGCCAAGACUAUGGGUUCAUAGCUUCAACUCCGCAGUACACACACACCAACUGAUUAACGGACUGCUGAAUGCAUAUUUUUUUUAACUUGCUUUGUUUGCUCUUUUCCAUAUUAGGUCUAUCUCUGAUAAGCUACCCAGGAAAGGGCUGAACAUAGCGCAUGUUAAUAUAUGUAGCCUUAGAAACAAGGUUCAUGAAAUCAAUAACUUGAUAACAUCAGGAGGAAAGAGGAAAGUCUUUGUCCUCGGGCCUGGAGGGAAGCCAAAGUCAUUCCGCUACCCAAGAGUGGUAAAGCGGCCAUUACUGGUUCGAACAGCAGACCUAAAAGCUUGCUGCCAGCUCUCAGCAAACUGUUGGAAAAAAUUGCCUUUGACCAAAUACAAUGCUAUUUCUCUGUAACCAAAUGAACAACAGACUUUCCGCAUGCUUAUAGAGAAGGGCACUCAACAUGUACUGCACGGACACAAAUGACUGAUGAUUGGUUGAAAGAAAUUGAUAAGAAGAUUGUGCUGUUAGAUUUCAGUGCAGCCUUUGAUAUUACUGACCAUAACCUGUUAUUGAAGAAACGUACACUACCGUUCAAAAGUUUGAGGUCACUUAGAAAUGUCCUUGUUGUUGAAAGAAAAUCACAUUUUUGGUCCAUUAAAAUAACAUCAAAUUGAUCCGAAAUACAGUGUAGACAUUGUUAAUGUUGUAGAUGACUAUUGUAGCUGGAAACGGAUGAUUUUUAAUGGAAUAUCUACAUAGGCCUACAGAGGCCCAUUAUCAGCAACCAUCACUCCUGUGUUCCAAUGGCACGUUGUGUUAGCUAAUACAAGUUUAUCAUUUUAAAAAGGCUAAUUGAUCAUUAGAAAACCCUUUUGCAAUUAUGUUAGCACAGCUGAAAACUUUUGUUCUGAUUAAAGAAGCAAUAAAACUGUCCUUCUUUAGACUA